rnacentral:rRNA from 1 species
AUUGAACGCUGGCGGCAGGCCUAACACAUGCAAGUCGAGCGGAUGAGGGGAGCUUGCUUCCUGAUUCAGCGGCGGACGGGUGAGUAAUGCCUAGGAAUCUGCCCGAUAGUGGGGGACAACGUUUCGAAAGGAACGCUAAUACCGCAUACGUCCUACGGGAGAAAGUGGGGGGUCUUCGGACCUCACGCUAUCGGAUGAGCCUAGGUCGGAUUAGCUAGUUGGUGGGGUAAAGGCUCACCAAGGCGACGAUCCGUAACUGGUCUGAGAGGAUGAUCAGUCACACUGGAACUGAGACACGGUCCAGACUCCUACGGGAGGCAGCAGUGGGGAAUAUUGGACAAUGGGCGAAAGCCUGAUCCAGCCAUGCCGCGUGUGUGAAGAAGGUCUUCGGAUUGUAAAGCACUUUAAGUUGGGAGGAAGGGCAGUCGGUUAAUACCUUGCUGUCUUGACGUUACCAACAGAAUAAGCACCGGCUAACUUCGUGCCAGCCGCCGCCGUAA